UCUCCGUUGGUGAACCAGCGGAGGGAUCAUUACAGAGUUCCACAACUCCCAACCCCUGCGAACCGUACCUCAGUUUGUUCUCGUUGCCUCCUGGCGGCGGGCCCCCGGCACCACCGCCGGGGCCCCCGCCAGCGGCGGCGAGCACCCUGAACCUUUUUUCCUCAACCAGCCCGUCUGAGCAAACAAACAAAUGAAUCAAAACUUUCAACAACGGAUCUCUUGGUUCUG
rnacentral:misc_RNA from 1 species